GAUGAACGCUGGCGGCGUGCUUAACACAUGCAAGUCGAACGAAGCACUUUAUUUGAUUUCCUUCGGGACUGAUUAUUUUGUAACUGAGUGGCGGACGGGUGAGUAACGCGUGGGUAACCUGCCUUGUACAGGGGGAUAACAGUUGGAAACGGCUGCUAAUACCGCAUAAGCGCACGGCAUCGCAUGAUGCAGUGUGAAAAACUCCGGUGGUAUAAGAUGGACCCGCGUUGGAUUAGCUAGUUGGUGAGGUAACGGCCCACCAAGGCGACGAUCCAUAGCCGACCUGAGAGGGUGACCGGCCACAUUGGGACUGAGACACGGCCCAAACUCCUACGGGAGGCAGCAGUGGGGAAUAUUGCACAAUGGGCGAAAGCCUGAUGCAGCGACGCCGCGUGAGCGAAGAAGUAUUUCGGUAUGUAAAGCUCUAUCAGCAGGGAAGAUAAUGACGGUACCUGACUAAGAAGCACCGG
rnacentral:rRNA from 1 species